rnacentral:rRNA from 1 species
GACAGAGGGUGCAAACGUUGUUCGGAUUUACUGGGCGUAAAGCGUGUGUAGGCGGCUUCGCAAGUUGGAUGUGAAAUCCCACGGCUCAACCGUGGACGUGCAUCCAAAACUGCGUCGCUAGAGUCUCGGAGAGGAAGGUGGAAUGCUUGGUGUAGAGGUGAAAUUCGUAGAUAUUCGCAAGAACACCAGUGGCGAAGGCGGCUCACUGGCCCGGUACUGACGCUAAGGUGCGAAAGCGUGGGGAGCAAACAGG